ACUCCUACGGGAGGCAGCAGUGGGGAAUCUUCCGCAAUGGACGAAAGUCUGACGGAGCAACGCCGCGUGAGUGAAGAAGGUUUUCGGAUCGUAAAACUCUGUUUUCAGGGACGAAUGUGCGUCAUGUAAAUAAUGUGAUGUAAUGACGGUACCUGAGUAGAAAGCCACGGCUAACUACGUGCCAGCAGCCGCGGUAAUACGUAGGUGGCAAGCGUUGUCCGGAAUUAUUGGGCGUAAAGCGCGCGCAGGUGGGAUAUUAAGUCUGGUGUUAAAGUUCGGGGCUCAACCCCGUGAAGCAUUUGGAAACUGAUAUUCUUGAGUGCAGGAGAGGAAAGUGGAAUUCCUAGUGUAGCGGUGAAAUGCGUAGAUAUUAGGAGGAACACCAGUGGCGAAGGCGACUUUCUGGACUGUGUCUGACACUGAGGCGCGAAAGCCAGGGUAGUGAACGGGAUUAGAUACCCCGGUAAUCCUGGCCGUAAACGAUGGGUACUAGGUGUUGGGGGUAUCGACCCCUCCAGUGCCGGAGUUAACGCAAUAAGUACCCCGCCUGGGGAGUACGGCCGCA
rnacentral:rRNA from 1 species